rnacentral:pre_miRNA from 1 species
AACCGGAAAAAUGGGUCAAGAUCCUCUCCAUUUAUAAAUUUUUUCAUUUGUUGUAAUUUGGAGAGAGAUAGACACAUAAAAUAAGUG